GUCGCCCGCAAGAUACUCACCAUCUGGGUCCGGAAACAAGUUGGCGUUACACCUGUGACCAUCGUAUGGAUCCUGCUGAAUUCAUAGGCAUUGUCCGUCUGACCCCUAUACACUGCAUGAUCACCUAGAGAAAAAGCUACUAGUUCUUCCCUCCUCCAAUCCAGUC